UGGUGAACCACUUUGUCCAGGAAUUUAAAAGAAAGCACAAGAAGGAUAUCACCGGUAACCCUAGGGCCCUUAGAAGAUUGAGGACAGCUUGUGAAAGAGCAAAAAGAACUCUUUCCUCCACUGCCCAGACAACAAUCGAAAUUGAUUCCCUAUAUGAGGGAGUUGACUUCUAUUCAACCAUUACUCGUGCCAGAUUUGAGGAGUUAAACAUGGAUCUUUUCAGGAAGUGUAUG
rnacentral:misc_RNA from 1 species